UCUAAACUGAAAUCCCUGAAAGGAUUGGACGUAGACUAGGAUAAAAUACGCUGGAUGACCUCCUAGAAACUUGAGAAAUUCACCCACUAUUGGAAAUGCUGAAAAAUUAUCUUCAAAAAUACGCCUUGCAGCCAAAAGAGAUCCAUGUUAAUUUUAUAUUUCGAAAAUGAGGAGCUAUAUUGCAAAAGAUGAUUUUAAGGAUAAACUUGUGGAAGAAGCAAGGCAGGGUUCUUUACAAAGAAACGUGCGUCUGGGGUCUUAUUCUUAGUAGAAGCCAGAUAUAUCUAAAAUAUAGAAUGGAGUAGGGUUUUCUUUACAGGGAAACACUUUAAAGAGGGACGCUCUAUUUGUGCAGAAUGCAUCAAACAAAAACUAUCCUACUUGUAUUUUGAGAAUUGGGAAGAAUGCCUCAUCACACGAACUCCUAUACGGCUUUUGAAAGAAAUAGCGAAACAUGUCGCGUGCCUUUCAAGUAAUUAUUCAACUCCAACCCUUAAUCUUAAUGGCACUCUAUAAGAAUGUAGAUAAAUAAGUAAAUUAGCUGAUCAAAACAUGUCUUUUAUUUGUGAUUUUACGGAAAAUCUAUAGUUUGGAGCUCGACCUAGCAUGAGAGAAGGUAAAGAGUUCAAAGUUAGGAAUAAGCCCCCACAAAAUAAUGAAGUAGAGUAUGAAUGGAGCUCGGUCCCCGAACCAUGCCAAACGACAAUGACAGACUUUAUCUGACAAAGUCAAAAAAUUCAAGACAGGGUUUCACUGAAAAAGGGUAAAAUACAGCAUUAGGCAUACGUUCAAUAGAACAAAGCCAAGAUCUCGAAAAAUGUCAACUUCGACUAAUGGAAAGGAAUGAAAAACGAUGUUCAAAUGCGACGGAGCUACAAUAAUGUGGUAAAUGCUGGAAUCUCUGAAAACAAUCACUUUAUAACUAAAGGUAAAGAAAGUCGUUCGGAAACGACAAUAUAAAUUAUGGGAAGGGUUGCCUUGGAUUCCAAAGUCCUGGAUGAAACGGAUGGCAAAAUAACGUUCUAUAAAUAUCCGAAUGAUCUAGAUAGACUCCAAGUAUGGAAAAGGGUUAUUCCUAAGAUUAGACAAAUUCCUCACAAUCAUUUAAUACAAUUAAAAUUUGCUCCCUACAUUUUGGAGAUCAAGAUUUCUUGACAGAAUCGAUAUAUCCUGAUAGUUUCCGAAUCAAGAAGCAAAAAGGUUCCCCAAUUGACAAAUAGAAGAUUAAAAUAUCACACGAUUCCUUUUUGGUUCCAAAACUAUACUUUUUAAUUAUCAAGACACCAACCAGAUCGAAGAAGCGGUAGAGCAACAACUCAAGCAAUAUUCCAAGAAGAGUAUUGCUAAUAUUUUAAAUGUUUUUGUUUGUGUGUAUGUGUUUUAAAAAAUUGAGGUUGACAAUUUUUAGAUAGAUAUUAUUUAUAACAAAAUAUAGAUUAAUAGUUAUGCACUUUAUUUUCCAGUCGAAGGCAAAAUAUGGGGUAACAGUUUCUAGAAGUGGUAAUGUUACUUCCAUCUAAGAAAUUAAGGCUCAAUAUCUCUCUUUAGAUUUUAUUUUGAUUGUGUUCAUGAAAGAAAACUUAUUAAGCAUCAAUUAGAAUUAUUUAACAAUACGCCCUUCAUCAUGGUCCAUGGGAAUUUUGGAUUACCUCUCAGUAAAGUGAAUCAUAUAAUGAGUAAGAAAGGGAGUAUCCAGUCCAUGUCUCUAGUACUUAAUGUCUUAGCUUUUUUGAACAGCUACAUAGUUGAGGAGGAAAAAAACAUGAACAAGUUUGUUCAUUUCAAAUUCAUUUUAGAUGCACUCAAAAGUGAAGCAGAAUUUAUUCACACGGUUGAAAUUUUCAAUGCGAAAUUCAAUUUUUUGUUUCAACAAUUAAGAGUUGCGAUAAAAGAGGGACAAGACUUUAGAUAUUCGGUAGAAAUGCUAGCCAACUGUUUAAUGUGGGGCAAAACCAACCCUACUCUUUAGAAGCAACUUCAAAUGCAGGGAAUUCUUACAAUGCCACAUGUGUCCCAUUUGAUGAGAGUUUCUGAAGGAAUCACUGUCAGUACUGGCGUCAAUGAUGCCACCAUUAAAUACCUGAAAUGUAGAAGUGAAAACGUGAAUCCUAGACCGUAAAAUGUACAUCUAUUAAUUGACGAAAUUGACAAAGCAAAGCAAAUGGACUACAAUAACGGUAAAUUAUAUGGAUUGAAUGAAGAUUUUGUGCCCUCAAAAACUAUCUUAACUUUUAUGAUUAAAUGUUUGUGUGGGAAGUAUGAGGACGUUGUGAGCUUAAAAACUGUCACCAAACUCAACUCCAAAAUAUUAAAACAAUAUUAUGAUCCUAUUCUACAAGUUGUACAUAAAGCUGGAUUCCGAGUAAGUGGUAGACUUGUCGACAACUACAGUGCAAACUGCAAAUUUGUAUUCGAUGAAUUACUUUCCGGUUCGCCAUCGAACUAUUACAUUCACUCUUCAGAAGGAGAAUCUUGGGAAAAAAAUUCUUAUUUCUGAUUCAACCCAUAAUAUGAAGAACUUUUUUCAUAAUUUCGUCAAUAAAAGAAUUUUGGAUUGUUCUAAAUUCCGUGAAAUUGAAGUUGGAUCUCCAAUAUUUCAACAUCUUGAGUCUUUAUACAACAUUGAAGUCGGAAAGUCGAUUAUGUUAUUAAAAAAAAGAAAAAUUCAGAUUCAUCCUUUUUUCGCUACUACAAUUGUAGAUCUAUAAAAAGGAAGAAAAAAGGCAACCAUUCCAUGUAUCUAGCCUCCCUUGUAUAGUAUCAAUAUAGUAGAGUAGUACCUACUACUAUUUUUUGAGUUGUUUUAUGUAAAUAAUACAACGUUACCACAUAUGAUUUUGGCCAAGACAUGCAAGAGAGGGAAAAUAACUAUCGCGUUGCAGCACGCCCAGCACUUCGAAAGAGCCGAGCAAGUUGACAAUGUCGACGAAAGAGCUCAAACAAGGGAUUGGAGUUCUUCAAUGAAUAAAACUCAUCAAAAUGAAACCCCCUAGGUCCGGUAUUCUAAUUGUGAAUCUAUGGAGGUUGAUGCAAUCGCUCCUCAUAUGAGCGAUGUUUAUUGUAUGACCCCUCCAUUAGGAAAUCAUAAUAUGAAGGAUUACUUCAUAGUGACCAAAUAUAGGAAACUGGAAAGUGAGAAGCAGACAGUAAAAUUACCACACAGGGCUAAAACGAAAGUGAGGCAUUAUGUCUGUCAAAAAGAGGGGCAUAUGAAAAGGAAUUGCCCAAUGGUCAAAAAGAGGCCGGGAAACUCCUAAUGGGGCGUGGUCGAACUCCCCUUAAGUAACUUUUCCUAAAGCACUGUCAUCGUGGAAAAUCGUGGUAAAUAUUUGGUGAUUGACGACAUAAAGGAUAUUUAUAAAGAAAUCGAGACGGAUGAAUUGGUGAAUUGAGUUCAUCUGGAAAUAUUCGUCUGUGUCCACAUAUAAAGUUGUUCACAAUGGGACAAAAUGGAUAUUUACCAGCAUUGAUCCAUGGAAACUUCAAAUUAACCAAAGCACUAUGUGACGUAAUUUUACUUAGGUCGAACGACGUGUUCGUAUCUCAAAUCAACGAUUGAAAAAUAUUUGUUGUUGCACAGUAAGCAAAAAGGAUCAAAGUGUAGUGCAGAAGUACUUUGGGGAAGAUAACAAAAUAUCAAAAAGAACUUGGGAUUGGGUAAUGGCUGAAAACAUUAGAUAAUAGAUGCAAUGUUAAAAUUGGAAAAUAUUUAAUUGGUGAAAAGCAAGUAGUGAGCAAGAUCAAGGCGAGGGUCGUGGAAACAAUGAUUCUGGAUAAGGUGAAAGAUGUCAUUGUAGAUUUAAAUUUACAUGAGAUUGGGUACUUGGCAAUAGAUAAUCAAAUCUCAAAGAGAAGAUAGAACCAUUGGUGGAAACAAACAAGACUAUUUCAGUGGAUAGGGUGAAAAUGAUGACAAGAUCUGCUAUGACGGAAGAGAAUCGUUUUUGGAUUUACGGUAUAUUGGGUGUAGAAACAUGAUUAAUUAUUAUACUUUCAGGAUUUUUUAUAACACUUUACGAGCCAGAAGGGCUGCACAAGAGUGAGGUAAAAUCUUGAUAGACCAAAAAACAAGAAUAGAUGAGGUUGUCUUUUCCUUAAGGAGGGAGCAUCCUUAGUAUCAUCGGAUUAGGAUUUUCAAUGGAUAGAUAUAACUUCCAUAUUAUUAUAUAUUGUUGUGUACAUUUUUAUUAUUGAUUGAAAUAAUAUGGAAGGGAAUAUCUUUUGAUGUGUGAGAUUAUAUUGAUAGAUGAUUAAGAUAUACUAAAUAUUGCCUUUUCAUAUGACAUGCUCACACAAGGAUGAGUAAUAUGAAUAUCGAGGUAAUCUUAUUAUGUGACUAAGUACAUGAUGAGAUAUUCUGGAACGUUCUAUAAAACUAAGCAUUAGACACAAACCGGCUAUAAAUAUAAGUGUUCAAAGCCUUAUGAGGUUAAUCGUCAGAUUACCUCCAAAUGACUAAGUAAUAUAAUAUAUAGUGUAUCGUGCUACUUGAAAGACCAACUCGUAUACACCUUAUUUCGUUACUUCUCUAAUCGACACCAAUUAAACAAGUGACGGAAAAUAUAAUUGAAGAUGUCAAGACUUGUGCCGACGAUGAUGACUAC
rnacentral:lncRNA from 1 species